rnacentral:rRNA from 1 species
UACAGGGGGUGCAAACGUUGCUCGGAAUUAUUGGGCGUAAAGCGCGCGUAGGCGGCUACUUAAGUCGGAUGUGAAAGCCCUUGGCUCAACUGAGGAAGUGCACCCGAAACUGAGUGGCUAGAGUACGAAAGAGGGUCGCGGAAUUCCCGGUGUAGAGGUGAAAAUUCGUAGAUAUCGGGAGGAACACCGGUGGCGAAGGCGGCGGAC